AAAUCGUACCCCAAACCGACACAGGUGGUCAGGUAGAGAAUACCAAGGCGCUUGAGAGAACUCGGGUGAAGGAACUAGGCAAAAUGGUGCCGUAACUUCGGGAGAAGGCACGCUGAUAUGUAGGUGAAGUGGUUUACCCAUGGAGCUGAAAUCAGUCGAAGAUACCAGCUGGCUGCAACUGUUUAUUAAAAACACAGCACUGUGCAAACACGAAAGUGGACGUAUACGGUGUGACGCCUGCCCGGUGCCGGAAGGUUAAUUGAUGGGGUUAUCCCUCGGGAGAAGCUCUUGAUCGAAGCCCCGGUAAACGGCGGCCGUAACUAUAACGGUCCUAAGGUAGCGAAAUUCCUUGUCGGGUAAGUUCCGACCUGCACGAAUGGCGUAAUGAUGGCCAGGCUGUCUCCACCCGAGACUCAGUGAAAUUGAACUCGCUGUGAAGAUGCAGUGUACCCGCGGCAAGACGGAAAGACCCCGUGAACCUUUACUAUAGCUUGACACUGAACACUGGUCCUUGAUGUGUAGGAUAGGUGGGAGGCUUUGAAGUGUGGACGCCAGUCUGCAUGGAGCCGCCCUUGAAAUACCACCCUUUAAUGGCUGGUGUUCUAACGUGGGCCCGUAAUCCGGGUUGCGGACAGUGUCUGGUGGGUAGUUUGACUGGGGCGGUCUCCUCCUAAAGAGUAACGGAGGAGCACGAAGGUCAGCUAAUCCUGGUCGGACAUCAGGAGGUUAGUGCAAUGGCAUAAGCUGGCUUGACUGCGAGCGUGACGGCGCGAGCAGGUGCGAAAGCAGGUCAUAGUGAUCCGGUGGUUCUGAAUGGAAGGGCCAUCGCUCAACGGAUAAAAGGUACUCCGGGGAUAACAGGCUGAUACCGCCCAAGAGUUCAUAUCGACGGCGGUGUUUGGCACCUCGAUGUCGGCUCAUCACAUCCUGGGGCUGAAGUAGGUCCCAAGGGUAUGGCUGUUCGCCAUUUAAAGUGGUACGCGAGCUGGGUUUAGAACGUCGUGAGACAGUUCGGUCCCUAUCUGCCGUGGGCGCUGGAGAACUGAGGGGGGCUGCUCCUAGUACGAGAGGACCGGAGUGGACGCAUCACUGGUGUUCGGGUUGUCAUGCCAAUGGCACUGCCCGGUAGCUAAAUGCGGAAGAGAUAAGUGCUGAAAGCAUCUAAGCACGAAACUUGCCCCGAGAUGAGUUCUCCCUGACUCCUUGAGAGUCCUGAAGGAACGUUGAAGACGACGACGUUGAUAGGCCGGGUGUGUAAGCGCAGCGAUGCGUUGAGCUAACCGGUACUAAUGAACCGUGAGGCUUAACCUU
rnacentral:rRNA from 1 species